rnacentral:rRNA from 1 species
UACAGAGGGUGCAAGCGUUGUUCGGAAUUAUUGGGCGUAAAGCGCGUGUAGGCGGCUUUGCAAGUCGGGUGUGAAAUCCCUCGGCUUAACCGAGGACGUGCGGAAGAAACUGCAAGGCUCGAGUCCGGAAGAGGGGGGCGGAAUUCCCAGUGUAGCGGUGAAAUGCGUAGAUAUUGGGAGGAAUACCGGUGGCGAAGGCGGCAUCCUGGACCGACAUUGACGCUGAGGAGCGAAAGCUAGGGGAGCAAACGGG